rnacentral:rRNA from 2 species
CGCUUAGGGGACACACCCGUUCCCAUCCCGAACACGAUGGUUAAGACCUAAGCGGCCGAUGAUACUAUGCUGGAGACGGCAUGGGAAAGCAGGUGGAUGCCGGAU